UGGCCUUGCUGCCACGAUCC
rnacentral:snRNA from 1 species